GACGUAGGGUGCGAGCGUUGUCCGGAUUUAUUGGGCGUAAAGAGCUCGUAGGCGGCUCGUCGCGUCGACCGUGAAACCCCGCAGCUUAACUGCGGGCCUGCGGUUGAUACGGGCGGGCUAGAGUUCGGUAGGGGAGACUGGAAUUCCAGGUGUAGCGGUGAAAUGCGCAGAUAUCAGGAGGAACACCGGUGGCGAAGGCGGGUCUCUGGGCCGAUACUGACGCUGAGGAGCGAAAGCGUGGGGAGCGAACAGG
rnacentral:rRNA from 1 species